UUAUAGCACCCUACACACCAUCCUGGGAGUAUUAAUAGGUUGUCCUCUCUCUAUAUAUCAUGAACUUCUCCAGAGGACUCACUCAUUCAACUAUGAAUUUGGAUUAAGGCAUUGUUCUGGACUUUGGAUACAGCAGAGAACAAAGACAGAGUCCCUGCCUUCAAGGAGCUCGCAUUCUCGUUGGGGACACAGGCAGCGAACACAGAGUGGUACACCAGUGACAGGAAUCAUCUGAGACAUCAUCUGUCUUGUGAAGCCUUCUAUGACCUCAGGAUAUCCCCACCCCCAUACCGGCUGUGGUCCCACAGCUCCCUCUACUCUGACUGUCUGGAUGCCUGUUUUCUCCGUUGGAUUCUGGGCAGCAGGAAUGUAUAAUGAUACAUUUAUAAAUGCCUGGAGGACAUCUUGAUUAUUCAUCAGCACUCCUUUUUCUUGGUCACCAAGAAAUCUAAGUUAUAAAUAGCCCCGACAUGAUGCUCCAUUUAGCCGUUCAACUCGUCCAUCUCCUGGCUGCAAUCUUUCGAUUUUCUGCACAGAUGAAUAAGCAAAUGUCUUGAGUGAUCAAAGGUCCUCUAGGCAAAGAGAGAAAGACCAGAUGAGACCAGGAAGCCUAGAGAGACUCAUUAUCAGGAAGAUUUUCCCACCGAAAGUAUAAAGAUGGCAAAAUGAAGAGGGCCUCCUUCAUCAGAAAGUUGAGUUUCUGGCCCGUAUCUCCGUUGGCACCCAGAACAAGACCGCAGGCAUCUCAUUAUUUUGCACUUGGUUUUCCUUUGUUGUAAUAACUGCAACAAUGCUGACCUCGUGGGAUUAUUUUAAGGAUUAAAUGAGAUGAACUGUGUCCGUAUUUGGA